rnacentral:lncRNA from 1 species
AGCUUUACUAGGCGUUGGAACACCUCUUGCAAGUCCCUGAGGGAAGAAUGUUCUCGGCGUGUUCCUGGAAGGCCAGUGUGGCUGGAAUGGAGUGCCUGUGGGAGGAGGUAGGACAGGGUCCAGGCUGAAGCUAAGCAGGCGUUGAAGGAAUUUGGGGUUGAUUUUAAUUGGGACGGGAAACCAUGUAAGGAAGAUUUGUUUGGUUGUUUCUAGGAGGGGCGAGCCCUGAUCACCCACAUAUAUGCAUGCAGAGGAGAGGAGCUGGCUGGGCCUGGUCAGUGGUGGGUGGAUUCCUGGAUUCAAGUUCAAGUUGACGUGAUCAAGGUGGUCCAUGAGCUUGCUCUUGCCCUGCCAGGGGCUCCUGGCUCCUUCCCCUCCCUCCUGAUAGUGAAGGGUAUUCCCUCCGAGUGUAAGCAGCACAACGCAAGAGACGUGCACGCCCGCUUCUCGCGCAUCUGUGAUUCGCGGUGUACCUGUGUCAGUGUUGAGUCUUCCCAGGAGAACCUGGAAUCCGGGAACCACGGUCUACAUAUUCGAGUGUGUGAUCCUGCUGAUGUGAAUAUCUGAGCGCUCGCUCAGGGACGGGUCCGCGUUUGUUAUCCGCCCGGCUCUGCAGCAUCUUUCUGUUCAGACUCAUCCAGGUGCACAUCUGGACGCCUACGCAUUUAGUCAGGUGUCCCUUUUAGGAGGGACCGUUUGAUAGGCAGACUAAUUUGUGACCCCCCUUGAUCAAAUGGCAAAAGUACUCACUUUCCCAUCUUGCAAAGCACCUUAGUAAUUACCCAACUGUGGAAUUGUCACUCUUGUGGUAAAGGCCUUACGACGUUUUCUCCGUGACCCUGUUUUACCCGUGUUCUAGUGGACAGGGUGGUCCACACUGAGGUCUAACAGAAGCCCACUGGCGAUAAGCGUUCCCCUUGUCAAAAAUUCAGUUUGAUCAUUGAAAAUUAUUAAAGUAUUGUUUUGGUCCUCUUUCUACUUUGGCAUGAUUUUAACUCUGGGUCAAAUAGCAGCACAACUCAAAACAUUACCUGGCUCUGUCUCUUGCUCACGAUACUCCAAGACCCUGGCUUUCCCGUUUGCAGCCACCGUUUUUGAACUUGCUGUUUGCUCUGCCUCGGACACUCUUCCCAAGACCACAUAGCUGUGCCCUUCAUUUGCUUAAGGUUUCUGUACAGAUGUCCACUUCCAGCGGCCUUUCCUGGCCAUCUUCUGUUAAAUGGGUACCCCACACGGCACUAUUCCUUGGGCUCUGCAUUGUUUUUCUCUGUAGGGUCACCCCCCUUGGCGUGCUGUUUAUUUACUUGAUGACUUGUUUAUUGCCUCACUGUCUCGAAUAUCAGCUCCAAGAGAGCAAGGCCUUUGUUUUGAGAAUUGCUUGUAUCCUGAGUCCCUAGAAGAGCGCUGUUUACAGAGGAGUCAGCCAGUAUUUUAGAAACUGAAUUAUGAUGAUUAAUGGCUUCUGAAGUCAAGUUCACGCUCUAGACCCUAUGACCAGCAUCUGCUCACCAACUGAGCUUGGUUGCCAUAAAAAUAUUAAAGGCCCAAAGUAAGCAAUCUUUCUUUCCACAGAUGUGUACAAGACAGUUUUCUUCGGAUGUCGGGCUUUCUCUCUUAGGAAAGAAAAAUUUGCAAGCCUGACGAACAGAGCGUAUUAGAGGGACUCUAAAUCCUUGCUCCUCGGAGUGCGGUCUGCCCACCAGCAGCGCUGGCAUCGCCCCAGGCUUAUCGCAAAUGCAGGAUCUCAGGGUUUCCCCAACCUGAUAAAAGUGAACCUGCAUUUAGUGGAGGUGAUUCUUGUGUAUAAAGUUGGAGAAGAACAGCUCUAAGUCGCCCGUCUUUGACCUAAAAAUAUCAGAUCUUUUAGAACUUGGUCACUUAACUUGGUUUGGAAAUGGUGGCUAACGAGGGGACCAGUUAAAGCACUCCGUAUUCACAUUUUUUCUUUUUUUGUUGAAAACAGAAACUGAUUUUGAGUUGGCCACUUAAUCUCCCUGUCCUCGAGUUCUUUCUGUGUGUUUGGGUGUGCGUGUUCAUGUUUGUGUGUGUGUUUGGGGUGGGCCUUCCGGGGCCAAGGCAGAGCAGAGCAGUGGGCGUCUUCAGCCCUCCUCCCUCCCCACUCCCAGCUCCUCUCCUUCUAGUGAUCUGGGGGGAUGGGGACCAGGCUCUGUUUGAAGAGAGCCUGGUCCCCAGAAAGAAUUGCAGCUGAUGAGUUAGACGGAAAAAAAUACUCGUGCUUGAGCUCUUGCUCCACGUCAGGCGCUGUCUCUGAGUUUCACAUCAUCUGCUUAUGCAGUCCCAGCCACAGCUUGAUAAGGUGAUGCUAUCGUGGUCCUCAUUUUAGGUUGUAGAAACCCAGGCCUGGGAGGAAUCAGUCCUCUGUCAAGGUCACACAGCUACUGAGGGCAGGAGCUGGGAUUCCAGCGGGAGCAGCCUGGCCCUCCGACCUGAGCACGUCACUAUUUCUGAGGGAGAAUCUUGCAGAUUUACCAUCAUCUCUUAGGAGCAUGGGUGGCAGAAGUGUCGGUCAAAGGCCGUUGUAGUUUCUUCAUUGAGACUGAGAGUAUGCAGGGCUGAAUUUUGAGCUGAGCAGCGAGCUGGCUUGCUUUGUUUUGAGGCUCCUCUUUAAACCGUUUUGUUAUGCAAAGCUGCUAAUGUGAGUUUCCAGCCCACGUCUCUCUGGCAGGGUAAACACAUUGUAUAUGUUUGUUAGUCACUGUAACUACAAACAAGCAGGAUGGCCUGAGAUGGUCCAAGGGGCUCUAGCCAACCUUCGGCCCGAGCACGAGCACACGUGGGGCACGAGCACGCAGGUAGAGGAAGCACAAGGGCAAUGCCACCGCAGUCCCACGACGACUCUGGGGAGGCAGGAGGCGAGAGUGAGGAGGAACCCACGACGCGUGUCUAACACCUGUGCCGGGGGCUCACAUCCAUUGUCUUGUUGAAUCUUCACAUCUCGCCAGUGAGGUGGUAACACCUCCUUCAGCUUACAAAAGAGAAACACCAAGGUUCGGAGCCACCGAGUAACUUGCUCUGUGUCUUACAACUCACCGCUGUAAAUGAUGGAGGCAGGAUUCAAAGCAGGUUCCCCUGACCCAGAGUUUCUCCUCUUCUCCAUUGAGCACUUUGGAGAAACACUGGCAGGUGCAUACGGUGAAAUGUUUGAAGUAUUAGAAACACAGAUUUCAAGAAUUCCCAUCGUAGCUCAGCGGAAACGAAUCUGACCGGCAUCUAUGAGGACACAGGUCUCGCUCUGUGGGUUAAGGAUCCGGUGUUGCCGUGAGUUGUGGUGUAGGUCCAAGAUCCACCAGCCUGCACCCACAGCCACAGCCACACAGGAUCUGAGCCACCUCUUUGAUCCACACUGCAGCUCACAGCGAGCCGGACUGUUAACACACUGAGUGAGGCCAGGGAUCAAACCUGCGUCCCCGGGAAAGUAGUCAGAUUCGUUUCCGCUGAGCCACGACAGGAACUCCUUUAUUUAUUUUUUUUAACGACAAUGCAAUCAUAUAUUCAAAAUACCUCUGGAAGAGGAGUUUUUCUUUGUUUUGGUCUUGCCCUUGGGGUGCAGACGUUCCCAGCCAGGGACUGAGCCCGAGCCCGUAGCCGUGACAAUGCCAGGUCCUUCACCUGCUGUGCCGCCAGGGAACUCCAAAGAAGUUUGACCGGGACGCCUGUAGCGGGUCAGUGGAAAAGCAAAUGCCUCUGUAGAGGGGAGGGCCUCGUGCUGCCCACCUGGUCUGGAGCCCAAGGGCGGCCACCAGCCUGGCUUCUGACUCAUCCCGAGAGUGUGAUGAUCUUGGUCUUGGUCAAGGCCCCCGAUGAGGCUGCCAUUAGCUGUCGUUACGCGAGGGUGUCUGGUUUAGAGGAUGCAACAGAACAAGAAGAUGUUUCCAGACAAGUCCCCGCCUCCAGCGUGGAGGUCACUCCUGCUUUGGGCACAUCCGGUGCUCUAGUCAAGCCAGGCUGGUCGCUUUCCCCGCAAACGCUGCCGCCACCCCUUCCCCCCUGCGCCUUUCCUCUUAGCCGGCACGUCUGUCUGAAAGGACUUCCCUUCCCUUUCCACCUGCCAAACGCCGUGUUGAGAGGCUGGCUGAUGCGGAGUCGGGGGAGCAGGAGAUGGUCGCGGCCGCGCUGGGCCGCCGCCCCUCCGUCUCCACUUCCCUCCCGCCGGCGGGCUCGGGGCGGACCCGCCGCCUUCCCGCUCAGCUCCCGCAGCGCUUUUCACGGCUUCGUUAAAUUCUCGUUUUUACAGCGAUGACUGUCCGUUUGGAUCCGCUAGGGAAGAAAAAACUGCCGUCUUAGUCACGCGCUUGUUCAUUGCGCAUGUCCUCUCCCUCCCGUUGCUCUUGUUCCACCUCGCUUUGUAUGUAACAGUCAGAUACUGUCUUGAAGAUAAAUUUUAUUAUUAACAUGAAAGUUCAAGGCCCAUGGUGUGUCCGUUUUGAACUGUCUGCAAAGGGAGGUUAAAGCAAAGACAGUAACACCCAGAGCUCCCGUCGUGGCGCAGCGGUAACGAACCCCGCUAGGAUCCGUGAGCAUGUGGGUUCCACCCCUGGCCCCACGCCGUGGGUUAAGGACCCGGCGUUGCCAUGAGCUGUGGUGGAGGUUGACAGCUGCAG